rnacentral:rRNA from 1 species
GACCUGCGGAGGGAUCAUUACAGAGUUCUCGCCCUCGCGGGUAGAUCUCCCACCCACUGUUAUUGAUACUGUGUUGCUUUGGCGGGCCGCCGGGCCCUGCUCGGCCGCCGGCUCCGGCUGGCGCGCGCCCGCCAGAGGCUCCGCAAACUCUGAAUGUCAGCGUCGUCUGAGUACUAUAUAAUAGUUAAAACUUUCAACAACGGAUCUCUUGGUUCUGGCAUCGAUGAAGAACGCAGCGAAAUGCGAUAAGUAAUGCGAAUUGCAGAAUUCAGUGAGUCAUCGAAUCUUUGAACGCACAUUGCGCCCUGUGGUAUUCCGCAGGGCAUGCCUGUUCGAGCGUCAUUUCAACCCUCAAGCUCUGCUUGGUGUUGGGCCCUGCCCCCGCGGCCGGCCCUAAAGACAGUGGCGGCGCCGUCUGGCUCUAAGCGUAGUACAUCUCUCGCUCUAGCGCCCGGCGGUGGCCUGCCAGAACCCCAACUCUGUGGUUGACCUCGGAUCAGGUAGGGAUACCCGCUGAACUUAAGCAUAUCAAUAAGCGGAGGAAAAGAAACCAACAGGGAUUGCCUCAGUAACGGCGAGUGAAGCGGCAACAGCUCAAAUUUGAAAUCUGGCCCCUUCGGGGUCCGAGUUGUAAUUUGUAGAAGAUGCUUCGGGUGCGGCCCCGGUCUAAGUUCCUUGGAACAGGACGUCACAGAGGGUGAGAAUCCCGUACGUGCCCGGUGGUCGCCCCCAUGUGAAGCUCUUUCGACGA